UUUAAAGCUCUAAUAAUCCAACUCUGGCGUGCAUAGCCCCUUUCCCAGCUCUUUACGACUGUUCUCUCUCUUCCCAGACAGAAGUUACUACGCCCUGGAGCGAAACACGUUGUCUCCGUUAGCCAUCCUAGGGAUCAUCGUUUCCAGUGGCACUGGCUUUGCCUUCAUUAUUUCACUCAUGCUUUACCGGACUGUGGGCCGUGUUAAAAGGCCUGCACGUACUGCGGAGCUGGGAAGUGCGGAGAUUUCUCAAGCCAAGAUGGAAAGCCAGAUUACAAGUAAACAGAGAUUAAGUACCCAAAGCAUUUUAUCUGGGGAAGAGAAUAGAAUGCUGAGUCAGCAGAGUGUCCUCAAUGCCAAGCCUCUAUUAUGAAAAAGAAAAUGAAGAUUACUGUAGCCUGGUAACACCCUCGUCUAACCAUCAGCCACCAGCCUCAGAGACCAUUUGCCCAUCCUUCUCCCCCACCGCCAAGGAAGAUGCCAUCUACAGGGACCUAACAACAAAAUAUUGAGGGACCUCCUGGUAACUCCAAAAGUCAACAUUUCUAACCCUCCAGAGUCCUCAGGCACAAAAGAAUCCAUCACCUGUAUUGAUGAAAUA